GCACCCCUCGCCCGUUUUCCCGCUCAUCCCCCUUCUAAGCGGUCGGUCGUAGGUUCAAGUCCUACAGGGUGCACCA
rnacentral:tRNA from 2 species